rnacentral:rRNA from 1 species
UGGGGAAUAUUGCACAAAUGGGCGCAAGCCUGAUGCAGCCAUGCCGCGUGUGUGAAGAAGGCCUCGGGUUGUAAAGCACUUUCAGCGAGGAGGAAGGUGGUGAGCUUAAUACGCUCAUCAAUUGACGUUACUCGCAGAAGAAGCACCGGCUAACUCCGUGCCAGCAGCCGCGGUAAUACGGAGGGUGCAAGCGUUAAUCGGAAUUACUGGGCGUAAAGCGCACGCAGACGGUUUGUUAAGUCAGAUGUGAAAUCCCCGGGCUCAACCUGUGAACUGCAUUUGAAACUGGCAAGCUAGAGUCUCGUAGAGGGGGGUAGAAUUCCAGGUGUAGCGGUGGAAAUGCGUAGAGAUCUGGAGGAAUACCGGUGGCGAAGGCGGCCCCCUGGACGAAGACUGACGCUCAGGUGCGAAAGCGUGGGGAGCAAAACAGGAUU